CCUACGGGUGGCAGCAGUGAGGAAUAUUGGUCAAUGGACGAGAGUCUGAACCAGCCAAGUAGCGUGAAGGAUGACUGCCCUCUGGGUUGUAAACUUCUUUUAUAAAGGAAUAAAACGAGGCACGUGUGCCUUUUUGCAUGUACUUUAUGAAUAAGGAUCGGCUAACUCCGUGCCAGCAGCCGCGGUAAUACGGAGGAUCCGAGCGUUAUCCGGAUUUAUUGGGUUUAAAGGGAGCGUAGAUGGGUUGUUAAGUCAGUUGUGAAAGUUUGCGGCUCAACCGUAAAAUUGCAAUUGAUACUGGCAGUCGUGAGUACAGUUGAGGUAGGCGGAAUUCGUGGUGUAGCGGUGAAAUGCUUAGAUAUCACGAAGAACCCCGAUUGCGAAGGCAGCUUACUAAACUGUGACUGACAUUGAUGCUCGAAAGUGUGGGUAUCAAACAGGAUUAGAUACCCGGGUAGUC
rnacentral:rRNA from 1 species